rnacentral:tRNA from 1 species
GGGGAUGUAGCUUAGUGGAAGAAAGCACUGGGCUAGUAUACCGGAGGCCAUGGGUUUAAGUCACAGUGCCUCCU